rnacentral:rRNA from 1 species
GGAGGAGGGUUCUAGUUGAAUGCGGGGCGUGGUGUUUGUUAUAGUCGGAACUUGGUCUUAGUUUUAGGAUCAACGUGUUUUUACUCUUUCCAGUAGCGUGGUGCAGAAUGUAGUCUAUGGGCUUCACAGCAUAUACAACACUCUACAACUUUCAGCAACGGAUCUCUUGGCUCUCGCAUCGAUGAAGAACGCAGCGAAAUGCGAUAAGUAAUGUGAAUUGCAGAAUUCAGUGAAUCAUCGAAUCUUUGAACGCACCUUGCGCUCCUUGGUAUUCCGAGGAGCAUGCCUGUUUGAGUGUCAUUAAAUUCUCAACCUCACCCGUUUUCUGAACGGGGUCGAGGCUUGGAUGUGGGGGUUUGUGCAGGCUGCCUUCACUGGCGGUCUGCUCCCCUGAAAUGCAUUAGCGAGGUUCAUGCUGAACUUCCGUCUAUUGGUGUGAUAAUUAUCUACGCCGUGGACGAGGAUCAGACUCGCUUCUAACCGUCCGCGAGAACAAUACCUUGACAAUUUGACCUCAAAUCAGGUAGGACUACCCGCUGAACUUAAGCAUA